rnacentral:rRNA from 1 species
UACGAAGGGUGCAAACGUUGCUCGGAAUUAUUGGGCGUAAAGCGCACGUAGGCGGCUUAGUAAGUUGGAUGUGAAAUCCCUCGGCUUAACCAAGGAAGUGCAUCCAAAACUACUGAGCUUGAGUACUAAAGAGGAUCGCGGAAUUCCCGGUGUAGAGGUGAAAUUCGUAGAGAUCCGGAGGAACACCGACGGCGCAGGCAGCGUCCUGGCCGCUUGCUGACACUGAGGCACGAAAGCUGGGGGAGCAAACAGG